CACAGGACAUGAUUAAGCUAUGUUUUCCAGCCAGAAGAUGUUAUGAAUUCUGAACACAAAUUUUCUUACUUCUCAGUAACUCCAGAGCUGGGUUGUAAGAAGGGAUCAUCUACAUAUAGAUUUCAUGCUUGAAUCAUUUCAAGGACAUGGAUUUUGUCAUGAAGUUUGGUGCAUUAUUAAUUGAAGCAGUUUCUUUGUGCUUUUUGAAAGACAAGAGGGCAUGAGAAGUCUACCUUGCUACUGACCUUGAAAGGAAAAUAAUCAACUUUACAUAGAAAAACAAAAGACCCGGGAUAGCC